rnacentral:rRNA from 1 species
UACGUAGGGUCCGAGCGUUGUCCGGAAUUACUGGGCGUAAAGAGCUCGUAGGUGGUUUGUCGCGUUGUUCGUGAAAACUCACAACUCAAUUGUGGGCGUGCGGGCGAUACGGGCAGACUGGAGUACUGCAGGGGAGACUGGAAUUCCUGGUGUAGCGGUGGAAUGCGCAGAUAUCAGGAGGAACACCGGUGGCGAAGGCGGGUCUCUGGACAGUUCCUGACGCUGAGGCGCGAAGGUCAGGGGAGCAAACGGG